CUGCUACCAUGCAAGUCGAGCGGGAUGAAGGGAGCUUGCUCCUGGAUUCAGCGGCGGACGGGUGAGUAAUGCCUAGGAAUCUGCCUGGUAGUGGGGGAUAACGUCCGGAAACGGGCGCUAAUACCGCAUACGUCCUGAGGGAGAAAGUGGGGGAUCUUCGGACCUCACGCUAUCAGAUGAGCCUAGGUCGGAUUAGCUAGUUGGUGGGGUAAAGGCCUACCAAGGCGACGAUCCGUAACUGGUCUGAGAGGAUGAUCAGUCACACUGGAACUGAGACACGGUCCAGACUCCUACGGGAGGCAGCAGUGGGGAAUAUUGGACAAUGGGCGAAAGCCUGAUCCAGCCAUGCCGCGUGUGUGAAGAAGGUCUUCGGAUUGUAAAGCACUUUAAGUUGGGAGGAAGGGCAGUAAGUUAAUACCUUGCUGUUUUGACGUUACCAACAGAAUAAGCACCGGCUAACUUCGUGCCAGCAGCCGCGGUAAUACGAAGGGUGCAAGCGUUAAUCGGAAUUACUGGGCGUAAAGCGCGCGUAGGUGGUUCAGCAAGUUGGAUGUGAAAUCCCCGGGCUCAACCUGGGAACUGCAUCCAAAACUACUGAGCUAGAGUACGGUAGAGGGUGGUGGAAUUUCCUGUGUAGCGGUGAAAUGCGUAGAUAUAGGAAGGAACACCAGUGGCGAAGGCGACCACCUGGACUGAUACUGACACUGAGGUGCGAAAGCGUGGGGAGCAAACAGGAUUAGAUACCCUGGUAGUCCACGCCGUAAACGAUGUCGACUAGCCGUUGGGAUCCUUGAGAUCUUAGUGGCGCAGCUAACGCGAUAAGUCGACCGCCUGGGGAGUACGGCCGCAAGGUUAAAACUCAAAUGAAUUGACGGGGGCCCGCACAAGCGGUGGAAGCAUGUGGUUUAAUUCCAAGCAACGCUAAAAACCUUACCUGGCCUUGACAUGCUGAGAACUUUCCAAAAAUGGAUUGUUGCCUUCGGAAACCCAAACCCUGGUGCUGGAUGGCUUUCGUCCAUUCCGUGCCCGGAAAUG
rnacentral:rRNA from 1 species